UUUCAAUUGGUACAGAACACUUUUUGUGCUCAAUUACUGUAGUUUGAUCAUCUAAUACAAGUUGUGGUGCCAACGAGCGAACGAUAAUGCUCACUUUCCCAUCACUCUGACUGUGUUAAGCGUCGAUAAUCUGAGACAAACAUAUCGUUAACACGGAUUGUCAAGUGUUUGAACAUUUCUUUCCUCGCGCUCUUCGUGUACAGGAAACAUACACAAAACACAC
ensembl:ncRNA C36F7.8 ncRNA